CAAGUCCUCAUGGCCUUUAUGAAGUGGGCUACACGUUUGCUACAAUGGGUGAAACAAAUGAAAAUCAAAUUCAUUCUAAGUUCAGAUUCAAAUCUGAAAUUGAUUUGAUCAAGGAGGAAUCGCGAGUAAUCGAGAAUCAGACAAGUCUCGGUGAAGUUAAGAAUAUAAAUAAUUCUUUUUUAGUUGAUCUCGUACUCAUCGCUCGUCAAAGGCUUAGAAUUGGUAGAUCGUAAAGUUAAAACGAUGCAAAAGCAUAUAUUUUAGAUAGCGGUAUGCCUUUAAUAGGUCUUAAGUCGAAACAAAGUCGGGCUAGGGGAACCUGGU
rnacentral:rRNA from 1 species